CUUUUACCCAGUUCUGUUCAGAAUAGUGAACGUGGCAAAAAAAUUGGAAACGUCAUGGUCACAACUAGCAGGAAUGUUGUACAAACAGGAAAAGCUGUUGGCCAGUCAGUUGGAGGAGCUUUUUCCAGUGCAAAGACAGCUAUGUCUUCAUGGCUUUCCACUUUCACCACUUCCACCUCCCAAAGUCUCACUGAGCCACCGGAUGGGAAGCCUUGAGCAAGGUGUCAGAGGCUGCUAUUGCUUUCUGAGGUUUAAGUGUCCCCUGUCUGUCUGCUGCUCCCAGGCUGUUACCAGCCACAGAUCCACAGCAGGGGACCUAUGUCGAACUGUUUACAUGGAUGUUGCUCUAAGUGAAUGUUUUGGGAUGCCGAAAUGAUGAAAUCACAGCCAUAACAGGGAUGGCUUUCCAGGAUACCUGGGAUGGCCGUUCUCAGAGAGUACUUACGGGGAACAGACUGCCUUUUAGUAACAAAGGAUACUUGGGAAAUACAUUGGCCACAUCAUUCGUUGGAGCAUGAUAGUGGGAUUUGUGUACAAUUGUUACCUCUCAGCUGCUGAAGUUCACACUUCAAGGAUCUAGGAGCUCUGUGAGGGGUCGUCCAGCAAGAUGCUGAUUUGUCUUUCAGUUGGUAUGGUUUCUGUGAUCGGGGUAAACUCCCGUCUCCCACUAUUCAAA
rnacentral:sRNA from 1 species